rnacentral:sRNA from 1 species
GGACCCUGAGCGUGAUGACCACGAGGGCCAGCCCCGGCCCCGGGUGCCUCGGAAGCGGGGCCACAUCUCACCUAAGUCCCGCCCCAUGGCCAAUUCCACUCUCCUAGGGCUGCUGGCCCCGCCUGGGGAGGCUUGGGGCAUUCUUGGGCAGCCCCCCAACCGCCCGAACCACAGCCCCCCACCCUCAGCCAAGGUGAAGAAAAUCUUUGGCUGGGGCGACUUCUACUCCAACAUCAAGACGGUGGCCCUGAACCUGCUCGUCACAGGGAAGAUUGUGGACCAUGGCAAUGGGACCUUCAGCGUCCACUUCCAACACAAUGCCACAGGCCAGGGCAACAUCUCCAUCAGCCUCGUGCCCCCCAGUAAAGCUGUAGAGUUCCACCAGGAACAGCAGAUCUUCAUCGAAGCCAAGGCCUCCAAAAUCUUCAACUGCCGGAUGGAGUGGGAGAAGGUAGAACGGGGCCGCCGGACCUCGCUUUGCACCCACGACCCAGCCAAGAUCUGCUCCCGAGACCACGCUCAGAGCUCAGCCACCUGGAGCUGCUCCCAGCCCUUCAAAGUCGUCUGUGUCUACAUCGCCUUCUACAGCACGGACUAUCGGCUGGUCCAGAAGGUGUGCCCAGAUUACAACUACCAUAGUGAUACUCCCUACUACCCAUCUGGGUGACCCGGGGCAGGCCACAGAGGCCAGGCCAGGGCUGGAAGGACAGGCCUGCCCAUGCAGGAGACCAUCUGGACACCGGGCAGGGAAGGGGUUGGGCCUCAGGCAGGGAGGGGGGUGGAGACGAGGAGAUGCCAAGUGGGGCCAGGGCCAAGUCUCAAGUGGCAGAGAAAGGGUCCCAAGUGCUGGUCCCAACCUGAAGCUGUGGAGUGACUAGAUCACAGGAGCGCUGGAGGAGGAGUGGGCUCUCUGUGCAGCCUCACAGGGCUUUGCCACGGAGCCACAGAGAGAUGCUGGGUCCCCGAGGCCUGUGGGCAGGCUGAUCAGUGUGGCCCCAGAUCAAGUCAUGGGAGGAAGCUAAGCCCUUGGUUCUUGCCAUCCUGAGGAAAGACAGCAACAGGGAGGGGGAGAUUUCAUCAGUGUGGACAGCCUGUCAACUUAGGAUAGAUGGCUGAGAGGGCUUCCUAGGAGCCAGUCAGCAGGGUGGGGUGGGGCCAGAGGAGCUCUCCAGCCCUGCCUAGUAGGCGCCCUGAGCCCCUUGUCGUGUGCUGAGCAUGGCAUGAGGCUGAAGUGGCAACCCUGGGGUCUUUGAUGUCUUGACAGAUUGACCAUCUGUCUCCAGCCAGGCCACCCCUUUCCAAAAUUCCCUCUUCUGCCAGUACUCCCCCUGUACCACCCAUUGCUGAUGGCACACCCAUCCUUAAGCUAAGACAGGACGAUUGUGGUCCUCCCACACUAAGGCCACAGCCCAUCCGCGUGCUGUGUGUCCCUCUUCCACCCCACCCCCUGCUGGCUCCUCUGGGAGCGUCCAUGUCCCGGAGAGGGGUCCCUCAACAGUCAGCCUCACCUGUCAGACCGGGGUUCUCCCGGAUCUGGAUGGCGCCGCCCUCUCAGCAGCGGGCACGGGUGGGGCGGGGCCGGGCCGCAGAGCAUGUGCUGGAUCUGUUCUGUGUGUCUGUCUGUGGGUGGGGGGAGGGGAGGGAAGUCUUGUGAAACCGCUGAUUGCUGACUUUUGUGUGAAGAAUCGUGUUCUUGGAGCAGGAAAUAAAGCUUGCCCCGGGGCACUGGAGUCAGAGUUGUCCAAGGAAAGGGCCUCAGGCAUCCCUUGGUCCAGGAAGAAUUUCUCUGAUGGCCGCAGGACAUUUGCUUGAGACCCAAGUGGCAGGGCUCCAACCGCCCUUGGCGCUGAUGUUUGCUGAGGGCUCAGGGCUUCCCUCUCCAGCCCCGGUUCCAAGCUGUCUGAUCCCCCACGAGGAAACUUGAGCAAACACCCUGGGCUCGGUGCUGGAGGAGGGCGUAGCAUCUUCAACAACAGCUCAGGGAGGGAGAGCUAGCAGGUAGAAUGGGCCAAUGAGGGUGUUCCUUGGUGUCCUCCCUGAACUGCCAUCUGCAGACCCAGCAGGGUCCUAGCCCCGUCAUUUUGCUGCGUGGCCUUGGCCAUGUCCAUUCUCCUCUCUGGCUUUCUUUGUUUCUUCCUCUAUGACAUGAAGGGCUUGCCCAGACCAGGGGUUCUCAAACACGGAUCACCCAGAGGGUUUGUUAACACACAGAUUUCUGGGUCCUACCCACGUUUCUAAUUCAGCAGGCCUGGGUGGGGCCUAAGAAUUAGAAUUUCUAACGAGUUCCCAGGUCUAUGCUGAUGCUGCUGCUCCAGGGCCCAUGCUGGGAGACCCACUCAAAGGACCUUAAAGUUCAUCUCUGGCUAUGGCUCCGCAGGAUGGGGAGACACCUCGGAUGUGCUUUCCCAGCUGUAAUUUCCAUCUGCUUCUCCUGGGGAAGGGGCCUUUCAGAGAAUCGGGGCUAUUGUAUUGGAUUUUCAAUCUGACCACAUGCCAGUGAAGGAACUGGCUGGAGUGGGGUGUGGACACAGGGCCUGCGUCAGUCACUCCCCUCCUGCAGCUAGUAAGAGGCCUCAGAAUGGCCAGCUGCCAGUGGCACCUUGUCUGGGAGUUAGUUGGGCCCUUUGGGACUCUGUGAAGGGAAGACACUACCAAGGUCACAGUGCCUUCUGGAGGUCAUUCUAAGUCGGCUCUCUUGGGAGGGCAGCACUCAGGGCCCUUUGGGCCCUCUUGAGGAGAGGAGAGUCCUGGCAGCAAGGUAAGAUGGGCUUGCCACCCCCCACCUUUCGCCCCUGCCCACCAGUGCUCCGCGCAAACUGGUCCCCUCAUACUGCAGCGCAGAGCUGGGUGGGGCUGAGAAGCCAUCUGGUUACAGCCCACCUUGUAGGAAAUGACCCAGCUUGUUUCCCCCACAUCAUGCUUCCAGGGGCCGUCUCUCCUGAGUGGAGAUGUGAGACACACACCCCUCCUCCAGACCACCCUCCGCUCCCCACCCUGGAGGCUUGAGACUGCUGGCACUGGAGCAGCCCACCAAUGGACACCCACCGUGUGCCGUUCAGCCUCCCACAGUGCUGUGGAGACUGCAGGAAGGAGGAGGAAGCAAUGGGGCCAGAGGCCCUGGGCGCCCUCCCCACCUCCCCUGGCUGAACUCUCAGCAGGCACUGGGGGCACUUUGACCCCCCUACUGCUCCUCUCCUCCUGUGGAGAGCCAGAUGCUGGCGACAGCUGGAGGGCCCGGCCUUCCUGGCACACAGUUCUGCCUGCACCAGGGAUGGAUUCAUUUUAAUAACUUCAUUUCACCCUCAUGCACACUCUGCCGCCUCAUCCCUCCUUUCGACCUUCCCCAGUAGCCUGGCUGCUCUCCUCAGCUAGGACUUUGCUAACAGAUUUCCUCCCAAACCUUAAUUCUUUGGAAUAGCCCUCUGGUCCCUACUGUUCUUGCCAGAUACUUCUGUGCCCGCUUGGUCCUCACAAGGGCAAGGGGUCCAUCCAACUUCCUCUGGCUAAGAAGACGUCACCUCUGCCCCACUGGCGAGCAGUGUCCCCAUGGUGAUGCCCCCCCACCAUCACGACGAAGUGCGCUGGCCUCCCACUCUUGCCAUGCACACACUCACAGGAGAUUCCUCUGAAGAAACCUGUCCCCCACUCUGCCCAGACCCCAAAGGGCCAGGUCCUACUCACACUCCAACCCUUUGACCUUCCCCAUCCACUGCCCUUCAAGGCAGUCUGAAAUGCCCUCAGACCGUUUAGCAGUCCCGUGGUCCUCCACCCUAACCCCUCAGCCCAGCUGGGGGCUGCCGGGGGCCUUGUCUCCUCCAUCAGUGGAGCCUCUGGGACAAGUUUACCAGGCUGGGGGUUCUUUAAGGACACAGCUUGGAUCUCCCCAUCAGGCUGGGGAACACCUAGGGCCGGGGGCCAUGCCUCCCUCAUCAGACUGAGGACUCCCUGAUGUCAGGGGCUGGAUGGCCCCUUAGACUGGGGGUCCCUGAGGGCAGACGCUAUGCCUCCCCUCAUCAGACUGGAGUCUCCCUGAGGGCAAGAACUGUGCUAUGGAUGGGAGGGGGACAGCUUGCCUUUUCCUAGGCAUCAGAGCACCUGGAGGCUGCCUCUGCCCUUCAGCUUUGCUCAAAGGUGCUGUCUGGGUCUCAGCAUUCCUUUCUCAAGUAGGGUGAAUCUCCUAGCACUCUGUGAAGCUAAUAAGGGGGAGUACCCGUUAGGUCAACUGGUAGCAAUGCCCGAGUCUCCUUCUCGAUGAAGCUUAAGGCAAAAGCAAAUGAAUAUCUAGGUCCCUUCCCCCCCUUCCCCCCUUCCCUUUCCUGGGAUGAGCAAGCGGGAACUGAGUCACCCUGUUCCCCAUCCUUGGCAGGAAUGCUGGUGACCUUGCAUUGUGGCAGAUUCAGGUGGCGAGGCCCAUUGCUCGAGAUGCACCCAGUGGGUGGGUGGCAGGGAUCCUGGGGGAGUGUUUAUGGGGAUGGAGGCAGCUGAAGGGCAGGGAGGGGUGACCAGGUGCUGGGAUCAUCGAGUGAGUAUGUGCAGGAGGGAUUGUAGAGACACAAUGAAACAGUUGCUCUGUGUUGGGAAGUGAUCCAGUGUCAUCGCUGGGAGUGGGAGACAGAAAUGUUACUUCCAAAGACUCCGAGUCCUGUGGUACUGCCAGGAGAACCGGGGGCUGGGGUAAUGGGUAAGGAGAGGCACCAUCAGCCCCGCCAGGCAGAGGCAAGAUGGGGUGGGGGCGGCACCUGCCAAUUAUGCCAAAGUCUUGGAGUGGCAGCUGGCACCAUCACCAAGGCACAAAUGCCAGCAGAGACCUGGCACUCACCUGGGUUGUGAUUCCAUAGGGCCCCUGUCUCCUGUUGGUCUCCCAGGCUCAAAGGCUGACCUGAUAAUUCAAGUGAAGGAUGCCUAGUUCAAGGCCUCCCAGUUCCUCAUCCCAGGCCACCUAGUCAGGUGGUCCCAAGGGACAAGCUAGGUCCUCCUGAACUGCAGAGGCUGCCAAUAAACUGGCAACACAGGUGUUGCAGGAAGAUAUAGCUGGGUCCUCAUCCUGGGUCUGUAAUUUAUUAGACGUGUGGCUUUGGACAAAUGACAUAAUCUCCCAGAGCCUCCUUAGAUAAAAAACUAGGGCUUUGCCUACCUUGGCGUAUUGUUAGGAAAAUUAAAUGAGUUGCUCAAUAAAUGUUACUUCCUCCUGUC